rnacentral:rRNA from 1 species
CCUACGGGUGGCAGCAGUAGGGAAUAUUGCUUAAUGGGCGAAAGCCUGAAGCAGCAACGCCGCGUGUGCGAUGAAGGCCUUCGGGUUGUAAAGCACUUUUCGAGGGGAUGAGGAAGGACAGUACCCUUGGAAUAAGUCUCGGCUAACUACGUGCCAGCAGCCGCGGUAAAACGUAGGAGACGAGCGUUAUCCGGAUUUACUGGGCGUAAAGCGCGUGUAGGCGGUCUGGAAAGUUGGAUGUGAAAGCUCCCGGCUUAACUGGGAGAGGUCGUUCAAAACUACCGGACUAGAGUGCGGGAGAGGGAGGUGGAAUUCCGGGUGUAGUGGUGAAAUGCGUAGAUAUCCGGAGGAACACCAGUGGCGAAAGCGGCCUUCUGGCCCGCAACUGACGCUCAGACGCGAAAGCUAGGGGAGCAAACGGGAUUAGAUACCCCGGUAGUCCGC